CAUGCAAGUCGAACGGUGAAGCCAAGCUUGCUUGGUGGAUCAGUGGCGAACGGGUGAGUAACACGUGAGCAACCUGCCCUGGACUCUGGGAUAAGCGCUGGAAACGGCGUCUAAUACUGGAUAUGAGACGUGAUCGCAUGGUCGUGUUUGGAAAGAUUUUUCGGUCUGGGAUGGGCUCGCGGCCUAUCAGCUUGUUGGUGAGGUAAUGGCUCACCAAGGCGUCGACGGGUAGCCGGCCUGAGAGGGUGACCGGCCACACUGGGACUGAGACACGGCCCAGACUCCUACGGGAGGCAGCAGUGGGGAAUAUUGCACAAUGGGCGAAAGCCUGAUGCAGCAACGCCGCGUGAGGGAUGACGGCCUUCGGGUUGUAAACCUCUUUUAGCAGGGAAGAAGCGAAAGUGACGGUACCUGCAGAAAAAGCGCCGGCUAACUACGUGCCAGCAGCCGCGGUAAUACGUAGGGCGCAAGCGUUAUCCGGAAUUAUUGGGCGUAAAGAGCUCGUAGGCGGUUUGUCGCGUCUGCUGUGAAAUCCCGAGGCUCAACCUCGGGCCUGCAGUGGGUACGGGCAGACUAGAGUGCGGUAGGGGAGAUUGGAAUUCCUGGUGUAGCGGUGGAAUGCGCAGAUAUCAGGAGGAACACCGAUGGCGAAGGCAGAUCUCUGGGCCGUAACUGACGCUGAGGAGCGAAAGGGUGGGGAGCAAACAGGCUUAGAUACCCUGGUAGUCCACCCCGUAAACGUUGGGAACUAGUUGUGGGGACCAUUCCACGGUUUCCGUGACGCAGCUAACGCAUUAAGUUCCCCGCCUGGGGAGUACGGCCGCAAGGCUAAAACUCAAAGGAAUUGACGGGGACCCGCACAAGCGGCGGAGCAUGCGGAUUAAUUCGAUGCAACGCGAAGAACCUUACCAAGGCUUGACAUAUACGAGAACGGGCCAGAAAUGGUCAACUCUUUGGACACUCGUAAACAGGUGGUGCAUGGUUGUCGUCAGCUCGUGUCGUGAGAUGUUGGGUUAAGUCCCGCAACGAGCGCAACCCUCGUUCUAUUGUGCCAGCACGUAAUGGUGGGAACUCAUGGGAUACUGCCGGGGUCAACUCGGAGGAAGGUGGGGAUGACGUCAAAUCAUCAUGCCCCUUAUGUCUUGGGCUUCACGCAUGCUACAAUGGCCGGUACAAAGGGCUGCAAUACCGUGAGGUGGAGCGAAUCCCAAAAAGCCGGUCCCAGUUCGGAUUGAGGUCUGCAACUCGACCUCAUGAAGUCGGAGUCGCUAGUAAUCGCAGAUCAGCAACGCUGCGGUGAAUACGUUCCCGGGUCUUGUACACACCGCCCGUCAAGUCAUGAAAGUCGGUAACACCUGAAGCCGGUGGCCCAACCCUUGUGGAGGGAGCCGUCGAAGGUG
rnacentral:rRNA from 1 species